rnacentral:rRNA from 1 species
AGAGCAGGCGGCAGCUACCAUGCAGUCGAGCGGUAACAGGGGUAGCUUGCUACCCGCUGACGAGCGGCGGACGGGUGAGUAAUGCAUAGGAAUCUGCCCGAUAGUGGGGGAUAACCUGGGGAAACCCAGGCUAAUACCGCAUACGUCCUACGGGAGAAAGGGGGCUUCGGCUCCCGCUAUUGGAUGAGCCUAUGUCGGAUUAGCUAGUUGGUGAGGUAAUGGCUUACCAAGGCAACGAUCCGUAGCUGGUCUGAGAGGAUGAUCAGCCACAUCGGGACUGAGACACGGCCCGAACUCCUACGGGAGGCAGCAGUGGGGAAUAUUGGACAAUGGGGGCAACCCUGAUCCAGCCAUGCCGCGUGUGUGAAGAAGGCCCUCGGGUUGUAAAGCACUUUCAGCGAGGAAGAACGCCUAUCGGUUAAUACCCGGUAGGAAAGACAUCACUCGCAGAAGAAGCACCGGCUAACUCCGUGCCAGCAGCCGCGGUAAUACGGAGGGUGCAAGCGUUAAUCGGAAUUACUGGGCGUAAAGCGCGCGUAGGUGGCUUGAUAAGCCGGUUGUGAAAGCCCCGGGCUCAACCUGGGAACGGCAUCCGGAACUGUCAGGCUAGAGUGCAGGAGAGGAAGGUAGAAUUCCCGGUGUAGCGGUGAAAUGCGUAGAGAUCGGGAGGAAUACCAGUGGCGAAGGCGGCCUUCUGGACUGACACUGACACUGAGGUGCGAAAGCGUGGGUAGCAAACAGGAUUAGAUACCUGGGGUAGUC